rnacentral:lncRNA from 1 species
GCGCCGAGCAACCGAUACCGCACGUCUGCGCGCUCGACGGGAAGCACGGGUCGGGACACGGGGCCGGCAGCGCCGGCGGGAUCACGAUCUCGAUCUCGAUCUUGUUGCCGCAGCCGUGCUUGUCGUGGUGGUGCUUCUUUGUCUUCUUGUGCUUCUUUUGGUCGUGGUGGUGGUGGUGAUGGUCUGCCGCCUUCUUGUGCACGUAUGUCUUGUAGAUCUCGGUGCACGAGUCGCUCGCGCUGUCGGGCACCACAUAGCAUGACGACGACGAGGACGACGACGACGACGG